GGUUGAUCCUGCCAGUAGUCAUAUGCUCAUUUCGAAGACUAAGCCAUGCAUGUCUUUGUAUAAGUUGUUACAACGAAACUGCGAAUAGCUCAUUAAAACAAUUAUAGUCUAUGUGGACAUAAUUACUACACGGUUAACUGUAGUAAUCCUGGAGCUAAUACGUGAUUAAACAUUCGGUUGGAUGUCACUUAUUAGAUUUGAGCCAAAACCUACCUUUGUGUAGAGAUCUGGUGAUCCAUAAUAAGGUCGUGAAUCGCAUGGCGCAUGCUGGCGAUAUUCCACCUGAGUUUUU
rnacentral:rRNA from 1 species